CCUGUAUAAAAUUUACAAAAUGGAUCGAGGAUGUGAAACUGGAACGAGCUCAAAUUUUUCCUUUACCGAUCCGAUCAUUCCACUUGUCCCUUUACUGGAAAUCGCUUGUUGGAUCGAAGAAACUUUUGAUCCGGUCUGGUCUGCUGUUUAUUUUCUGGAGUGGAAAUUAGCCUUUAAAGGCAUUUUCCAUUGCAUCGCUUUGCCCGCGCGGGCGGAGCGACCAAUUUUAAUCACGUAAAAAAUCAGUCGAGCGGGCACGCCAAGAAAUGCAAGACGCUGACAUACCAACGCUCUUUCUUCAUCAGAGUAAUAAGAUCUUACAACUCUCUGCCAGAAAAUCUAAGGCAAAAAGAUCUCACACUGGUACGAUUUAGAACAUUGUUGCUGGACUACUGCCACAACGCUGCCAAGACAUCCUAUGAUGUAGACGACGCCAGAACGUGGAGAACAGUCUGCUUAAAAUGCAACACAUCACGAAAACUCGUGCAACCAUUAACGUGUUGCUAUUAGUACAUGUACACUAUCAAUUAUCACUUUCAAUUUAUAUAUUAGCUGUGUGUUUUCUGUAUCCAAGGGCUCACAGUAAUUGGUUUUAAGCUGUUGUGGUGAUCCCGCCUUUUUGUUGUUGUCACCUUUUUGUCCAACCUUGAAACGUGGAGGCUGGGCGUAUUUGCUGCGUUACGAUAUGUUUUGUCUAGGUCUAUGCCAAGUCAUGUUGGGCUCAUAAAAAUCAAGCUAUUCUAAAAUGAAUAUAAUUGUAAAAUUAAACCGUCCUAGGUUAGCGGUCAAGGGUGUAUGUUUUUGUUUUACUAUCAUGUUGAAACAUAG
rnacentral:lncRNA from 1 species